CUCCAAAUGUCUAUGUGGGCAUUCACCUGCAAACCCAUGAAAUCUAAGCAGCAAAUUUGUAAGUCCAGAGGUGAGAACGCAAUGAACAUCAACCUCAUCAAGUGGAAUCGGCUCACAAAGAGCACUCUCAAGAAUGGAAGGAUAAGUCAUAUUGUUCUCAACAUAAAAAUCAGCAGAAUAUGCGUGAGAAGCACUAUCAGAGGCACAGGUAGAAGAAAAAGUAUCCACAUAGCCAAAAGAGGUAGACAUGCGAAAGAAGGGGGAAAAGAAGAAUGCAAUGAAAAUAUGCAACUAAACCUACCUAAAUGCAACACACAAUGACAAACACAUGAAACAGAACAUCACACUCACAACACAAGACAAGACACAACACACAAUAACACAGCAAAAGACCUAAAACCAAACCGUUGGUCCCCGGCAACGGCGCCAAAAUUUUGAUGGAGGUCGCACCCCAUGCAAAAUUUAAUGAGCAUAAAAG
rnacentral:lncRNA from 1 species